rnacentral:rRNA from 1 species
ACGGCAGCACAGGAGAGCUUGCUCUCUUGGGUGGCGAGUGGCGGACGGGUGAGGAAUACAUCGGAAUCUACUCUGUCGUGGGGGAUAACGUAGGGAAACUUACGCUAAUACCGCAUACGACCUACGGGUGAAAGCAGGGGAUCUUCGGACCUUGCGCGAUUGAAUGAGCCGAUGUCGGAUUAGCUAGUUGGCGGGGUAAAGGCCCACCAAGGCGACGAUCCGUAGCUGGUCUGAGAGGAUGAUCAGCCACACUGGAACUGAGACACGGUCCAGACUCCUACGGGAGGCAGCAGUGGGGAAUAUUGGACAAUGGGCGCAAGCCUGAUCCAGCCAUACCGCGUGGGUGAAGAAGGCCUUCGGGUUGUAAAGCCCUUUGGUUGGGAAAGAAAUCCAGCUGGCUAAUACCCGGUUGGGAUGACGGUACCCAAAGAAUAAGCACCGGCUAACUUCGUGCCAGCAGCCGCGGUAAUACGAAGGGUGCAAGCCUUACUCGGAAUUACUGGGCGUCAAGCGUGCGUAGGUGGUCGUUUAAGUCCGUUGUGAAAGCCCUGGGCUC